UGUCUCCUACGGGACGCAGCAGUGGGGAAUAUUGCACAAUGGGGGGAACCCUGAUGCAGCGACGCCGCGUGAGCGAAGAAGUAUCUCGGUAUGUAAAGCUCUAUCAGCAGGGAAGAAAAUGACGGUACCUGACUAAGAAGCUCCGGCUAAAUACGUGCCAGCAGCCGCGGUAAUACGUAUGGAGCAAGCGUUAUCCGGAUUUACUGUGUGUAAAGGGAGCGCAGGCGGCGCGCCAAGUCUGGUGUGAAACCCCGGGGCUCAACCCCGGGACUGCAUUGGAAACUGGCGGGCUG
rnacentral:rRNA from 1 species